rnacentral:rRNA from 1 species
UACGUAGGUGGCAAGCGUUGUCCGGAUUUACUGGGCGUAAAGGAUGCGUAGGCGGACAUUUAAGUCAGAUGUGAAAUACCCGAGCUUAACUUGGGUGCUGCAUUUGAAACUGGGUGUCUAGAGUGCAGGAGAGGUAAGUGGAAUUCCUAGUGUAGCGGUGAAAUGCGUAGAGAUUAGGAAGAACACCAGUGGCGAAGGCGACUUACUGGACUGUAACUGACGCUGAGGCAUGAAAGCGUGGGGAGCAAACAGGAUUAGAAACCCCAGUAGU